AGCAAACGCUGGCGGCGUGCCUAAUACAUGCAAGUCGAACGGGGAAAGUAGCAAUACGAGUACUAGUGGCGCACGGGUGAGGAACACGUGGGUAAUCUGCCUUCAAGCGGGGGAUAACCAGUCGAAAGAUUGGCUAAUACCGCAUAAGACCACAGGAUCUGCGGAUCUAGAGGUCAAAGCCGCAAGGCACUUGAAGAUGAGCCCGCGUAAGAUUAGCUAGUUGGUGAGGUAAUGGCUCACCAAGGCGAUGAUCUUUAGCUGGUCUGAGAGGAUGAUCAGCCACACUGGAACUGGGACACGGUCCAGACUCCUACGGGAGGCAGCAGUAGGGAAUAUUGCGCAAUGGGGGAAACCCUGACGCAGCGACGCCGCGUGAAUGAUGAAGGCCUUCGGGUCGUAAAGCUCUGUUAUAUGGGAAUAAGAUCUGAAUGUACCAUGUGAGAAAGGAUCGGCUAACUUCGUGCCAGCCGCCGCCGUAAAAC
rnacentral:rRNA from 1 species